rnacentral:lncRNA from 1 species
GCUUGGGCAUGGCUGGCUGCAGGUCCCCAGCCCUGCCACACGGGGAGGCGGCUGAGGCCCAGCAAGAAUUCAAGCUCCGCGGGGGCAGGCCAGCAGUGCUGGGGGACCCGGCGCACCCUCCGCAGCUGCUGGCCCGGGUGCUAAACCCCUCACUGCCCGGGCCGGCGGUGCCGGCGGGCUGCUCUCAGUGCGGGACCUCGGAGCCUGCGCCCACCCGGAACUAGCCGCGUUCAGCCCUGGUUCCCGCCCCCGCCUCUCCCGCCACACCUCUCCACAAGCAGAGGGAGCUGGCUUCAGCCUCAGCCAGCACAGAGAGGGGCCCCCAUAGCGCAGUGGCGGGCUGAAGGGCUCCUUGAGCAUGGCCAGAGUGGACGCCAAGGCUGAGGAGGCGCCGAGAGCCAGUGAGGGCUGCUAGCAUGUUGUCACCUCUCAAUACAUAAAACUACUGGAGGGUGGUUCCAAGAUGGCCAAAUAGGAACAGCUCCAGUCUACAGCUCCCAGCAUGAGUGAUGCAGAAGACGAAUGAUUUCUGCAUUUCCAACUCAGUAGAGAGCUGACUUUAGAGGGAUCAAGAAUAGCUUGCUGGAUGGAAGGAGGUCAUCUUUAGGAGCUGGCAUGAAUUGCUGUGUUUCAGAACAGUCCACGCAGAGGAAUGAGGAGAAGAGGAUUCAUCCAUUAGCUUCCAUCUCCCAUUGGUGAAAGCUUGCCCUGCAACUCCUCCACACUUCUGGGUUGUAUGACCUGUCCUGCUACAGCCACUAUGGAAAUCUGAACCCAUGUUAGUAGCCACCUCCUCAGCAUGACCUGCAGCUUAUGGGGCAUGCAGUAAGUAGGAGCAAGCCAAGCGCCCUGCGGGCUAGACCUCUGGCACACUGCAGAACCAGCAUGAACCAGGGCAGGUAGUGAACACCGAGAGGGUCCCAUGGUACUGCCCACCAUAGAGACUAAAACAGAGCCUUUGGCAAGAGGCAGGAGGCUCUAGGCAUGAGGUGUUUUCGGUCAUAGCCACACAUUACCUCAGAUUCCAGGAGCAGCUGCUGCAGCAGACCCAGCUAGCCCAGCCUGCAGAUUGUCACCAUGAAGACAGAGAUGAUCCUUCCUCCAGUGAAGAGCAAAACUUCUUUGUGGCCUAUAUGACUGCUUGGUGCUGGGCAAGCUUCCUGAAGAGUCAUCAGCAGCUGGAGACCAUGGCUGACCCCCCAACCCCCUUUCUGGCCUCUAGAUGUUUUAAAAUGGGAACCACAUAAGUGGGUGAUUCCAGGGCAAAAGAAGUCUAUUCUAUUUUGAGUGGGGAAGAACCUAGAGCACCUUGUGAAACUGACAUUGAGGAAAUGGCAUGGUAAAACAGUAAAAAAAAAUUUCUUGUUACAUGGAGUGAGCUGCUUCAUCAAGCUUCUGUUGAAGGCAAUCCUACUGGAACUUUUAGUCAAAUGGAAUUUUUUAAAAAUCUCAUUUUAAGGUUUCCUGGCACUUGUAACUGAAAGAUCCUAACUGACACAGCAGGAAAGCGGAAGGGUGGCAACUGUUCAGUUAGGGCAUAGUUCUCAAGAUUGUCCUUUAGGAACAUGUAUCUUUGUGGGAUCUCAUCUAUCUCAUACAAGGAUUGCAUUGAUGCAUGUAGUGUUCAGUAGCAUGACUGACCAGAGUGGAAGUUCCUGGAAAUUGUAGCUAUCAUCAUGAUGAUGAUGGUGAUUAUGAUUGUUAAAGACUGGGUUAGGAAAUGAUUUUGUAAAUACAAUGAGAAGAAGAGCUUUAAAAUUUGCCUAAAUUUCCCCACUUAAUAUUAAAAAGGAGGUGUGCUAUUAAAUUUUAGGUUUUUCUCAAACUCUCACAGCUAUUUUUGUGGGUUUUUAGUGUAUUUCGAGCCCCCUUUUCCUUCAUCUCUAUUACUUUAUGAUAAUGUGAAGGCUCAUUGUUAUGUGAACGCACUGUUAUGAAACAAUACUCUCAGACAUAAGCAGCUUUCCUUAAACCAAAUCAAAAAUACUAUUUCUAUUGCCCAUGAUUUUCAGAGGACUUCAGAGGACCCUGAAGCAUGGGGUGCUGUGAAUGCCACUAACUAACUUCAUUAAUCACACUUAUAAUGUAAAGGGAGAAUUUUC